rnacentral:rRNA from 1 species
CAGUAGCCGCGGGAAUACGGAGGGUGCAAGCGUUAUCCGGAUUUAUUGGGUUUAAAGGGUCCGUAGGCGGAUCUGUAAGUCAGUGGUGAAAUCUCACAGCUUAACUGUGAAACUGCCAUUGAUACUGCAGGUCUUGAGUAAAUUUGAAGUGGCUGGAAUAAGUAGUGUAGCGGUGAAAUGCAUAGAUAUUACUUAGAACACCAAUUGCGAAGGCAGGUCACUAAGAUUUAACUGACGCUGAGGUACGAAAGCAUGGGGAGCAAACAGGAUUAGAGACCCCCGUAGUCCCUGUCUCUUAUAC